AUUGAACGCUGGCGGCAUGCCUUACACAUGCAAGUCGAACGGCAGCACGGGAGCAAUCCUGGUGGCGAGUGGCGAACGGGUGAGUAAAGUAUCGGAACGUACCUUUCAGUGGGGGAUAACGUAGCGAAAGUUACGCUAAUACCGCAUAUUCUGUGAGCAGGAAAGCAGGGGAUCGCAAGACCUUGCGCUGAUGGAGCGGCCGAUAUCAGAUUAGCUAGUUGGUGAGGUAAAGGCUCACCAAGGCGACGAUCUGUAGCGGGUCUGAGAGGAUGAUCCGCCACACUGGGACUGAGACACGGUCCAGACUCCUACGGGAGGCAGCAGUGGGGAAUUUUGGACAAUGGGGGCAACCCUGAUCCAGCCAUUCCGCGUGAGUGAAGAAGGCCUCGG
rnacentral:rRNA from 1 species